ensembl:lncRNA
CUGGUUUUGUGGUCCAGGGUCACACAUAGGCUAUCCACUACUCAGUGUCUAGGGAACAUUGAGCAUUGCGUGAAUCAGACGCAGCGAUGGUCAGCUCUAUUGUAAAGACUGAGGUGACCAGUGUGUCUGUGUCAAGUUCACUGUUCAGCCCACUGUGUUGCGUGUCGGAGAAUCUCGCUGCGUUCAGUUGUAGUGUGGGCGUAGCUGUGCCAUUGACGCUUGAUCGUUGCUGAGGGGGAUUGCCUCGCGAGUGGGCGGGAAACUGAGACCGCGAAAAAGCAAACAGUCAAGCGCGCUCUGUAGCGGAACGUUCUCGCGCGGUUACCAUGACGCUGAGAGUGGGUAAACGCCGCUCUGUCGCGCUGGCUCUGACCUCUGGGUUGGUAUUUGUUUGAGGGAACAAAGCUUUCCCUGAAUCCCAGUAUUCUCUUUCGAGGCGGGGACAUGCAGUUUUUGCCUGCGGGCGAGAGUUCUUCAUCAACCUGAGCUGUUUUCUUUCUCUGCCUGGCCUGCUUGACCCGUUUCUCUUGCUGCAGUCCCGGAGGAACUGGUUCCUGUUUGUGAACUCCUGUGAGGAGCUGAAGACUUGCGUGUGUGAGAGAGAGGAAAAAGAAUUAAUCUCAUUCCUCCUGUAACAGACAGAAAGUUCCGCAUCUGUUUAACUCAGCAGGGUUGGAGAGUGGAACUCCAGGAACAAGUUUGGACACCCAUCUCAAUCACAGAUCGGGGACUGGAGGACUACUUUUCUGCAGAGUUCAGCUCCAACACACCUGCCUGUAAUUUUUAAGCAAUCUUGAAUGCCUUGAUCAGCUUCCAUUGGACCGUCAUCAUUGUCACCUUAACCUGAUUCCUACCCUUCAGGUCUGGAAUUAACAUCUGAUGUCUCAUCCACAAGAAGAUGAUUUAGGAUCCAGAUGAACCUAAACAGGUUUGAGGGAUGGGUCAUAAACUUGGCCAGAAUCACGUCUUGGCUGCUGGUUUGGGUGGAGGUGGAAAGAAGCGCUAUACAGCCAGCCUGAAUGUACCUGACGACCUCAGAGACCAGAGUCAAACAGAAACAGACUGGGUGGCAUAUAGUCAUUACAGCGCACACAGAUCAAGGCUUUAUGGGAAGGGAAAAUUUCAGCAGGGG